rnacentral:rRNA from 1 species
GAACGAACGCUGGCGGCGUGCUUAACACAUGCAAGUCGAACGCGAAAGGGACUUCGGGUCCUGAGUAAAGUGGCGCACGGGUGAGUAACGCGUAGAUAACCUGUCUUCAUGUCUGGAAUAAUACGCCGAAAGGGGUACUAAUACCGGAUAUUCUUGCUUUUCAUAAGUUAUGCAAGCAAAGGUGGCCUCUGCAUAUGCUACUGCAUGAAGAGGGGUCUGCGUACCAUUAGCUAGUAGGUGGGGUAAUGGCCUACCUAGGCGACGAUGGUUAGCGGGUCUGAGAGGAUGAUCCGCCACACUGGCACUGGAACACGGGCCAGACUCCUACGGGAGGCAGCAGUGAGGAAUAUUGCGCAAUGGGGGAAACCCUGACGCAGCGACGCCGCGUUGAGUGAGGAAGGCCUUCGGGUCGUAAAGCUCUGUCAAGAGGAAAGAAGUGUACAAUGGCUAAUACCUGUUGUAUUUGACGGUACCUCUAAAGGAAGCACCGGCUAACUCCGUGCCAGCCGCCGC